rnacentral:tRNA from 1 species
CCUUCGAUAGCUCAGUUGGUAGAGCGGGGGACUGUAGAUUUAUAACUUGUGAUCUCUAGGUCGCUGGUUAAAAUCCGGCUUGAAGGA